GUGCUCGCUUUGGCAGCACAUAUACUAAAAUUGGAAUGAUAAGAGAUUAGCAAGGCCCCUGCGCAAGGAUGACAUGCAAAUUCAUGAAGCAUUCCAUAUUUAA